rnacentral:rRNA from 1 species
UACGUAGGGUGCAAGCGUUGUCCGGAAUUAUUGGGCGUAAAGAGCUCGUAGGCGGUCUGUCGCGUCGGAUGUGAAAAUCCAGGGCUCAACCCUGGACCUGCAUUCGAUACGGGCAGACUAGAGUUCGGUAGGGGAGACUGGAAUUCCUGGUGUAGCGGUGAAAUGCGCAGAUAUCAGGAGGAACACCGGUGGCGAAGGCGGGUCUCUGGACCAUAACUGACGCUGAUGCACGAAAGCUAGGGGAGCAAACAGG